CGGUCUUCUCUCCUUUUGUUUUCCGACCUUGGCUUACCGUACUGCUGCUCUCAACAGUCUCUCUCUCUCGGAUUAGUAGUUAGAUAAUUGCUAUGGGUUUCCAUAUAAACCCCUGCUCUCUUUUACUACCUUUUUACUUUUGUUUCUUUCACACUUCUCCCCUCUGCAAGAAAAAAAUCGUUUUAGAGGGAAAAAGAUAUAAAAAAGAAAAGUCUUCCUAGUUUUGAGAGAAGAAGAAGAGGAAAGAUCGCCCAUGAACUAUGAUCAUCGCCUUUGUUUCUGAAAGGAGCGGUAGUGUUUGAAAGUUGAUCCAAUGGACACUGCAGCGAGUCAAUCAUCGUCAUCGUCAAUUAUGUUUUAUGAUUUUCUUGAUAAAAUGCGAAAUCCUGCUGCUCUCAAUCUAGUCAAAUCCAUUAAAAGCUUCAUUGUAUCAUUCCAAUUUUCUUCCGCCAACCCUGAAAAUGAUAGCAAAAGGGUACAAGAGUUUUUCUCAACAAUGGAAGCAGCUAUCAUGGAACAUCCAUUAUGGGCUGGUGCCACUGAUGAUGAAUUUGAUUGCUCAAUGGAGGGACUGGAGAAAUACAUCAUGACGAAAUUGUUCUCCCGAACAUUUGCUAUUUCUCCCGAGGAUGUGAAGACUGACCAAGAGAUCUCUGAGAAGAUACACUUGUUGCAAUCCUUUUUACGGCCUGAGCAUUUGGAUAUUCCUCCAUUUCUUCAGAAUGAAGCUUCAUGGCUGCUUGCAGAAAAGGAAUUGCAGAAGAUCAAUGCUUUCAGAGCUCCUCGUGAGAAGCUUCACUGUAUUAUGAGCUGCUGCAGGAUCAUCAACAAUUUACUGCUCAAUGCAUCAAUGUCAGAAAAUCAUGUACUGGGAGGGGCUGAUGACUUUCUUCCUGUUCUUAUAUAUGUCACAAUCAAGGCCAAUCCUCCUCAGUUGCAUUCAAACCUCAAAUACAUCCAAUUGUACAGGAGGCAAGAAAAAAUGGUAUCUGAACCAGCUUAUUAUUUCACGAAUCUUGUCUCAGCCAAGUCCUUUAUUGGCCAGUUAGAUGCCAAAUCUCUUUCUAUGGAUGAAAUUGAAUUUGAAGAGAGCAUGCAAGCAGCUAAGUUGGACAGCAAGGUAUCUCAAGUAGAAGCUUCACAGGCACAGACAGAUCCUAUUUUUUCUACAAGAAUGCAUGGCAUGAAAACAAAUAUAGAUGGCAGAUCAAAUUAUCCAUAUAUGGAAGCUGAGCCUGGUGAACUGACUGUUGAAGACGUGGAAAGAUUGCUGAGUCUGUACAAAGAUGUGGUUACAAAGUACUCUAGCCUCUGCAGGGCUGUUAGGCAUCCCUCUGCAACCAGAACAGAACCAUCCCUUCCUGUUCCUAAAGGGAGAGAUGACAUUUUAUUGCAACUUGAGGGACAAGCACAAAUGAUCCGAGAGGAGAAGGCAGAGGUACAUAAAGUGAAAUCUUUUCCAGUUAAAAGAAUCUCAGCAGAAUUGUCAAUCCCAGCACACCUCGUAUACUGCCAAACACUGCAGUUUUUAGGUCAGCAAUAGUGGCAUUUGAAGGUAGGACAAUUAACUCCAGUGGUAUAUAGCAGGGUCUCCUUUUGGCUCCUCUGAAAACUCCAGAUGGCACAGAAGGCAAAUAGCAAAAGGGUUAGCCUUCAUCUGUUUAUCAGGUCAGUGAUACAACGAAAGGAUGCUGAGGCUUUGAGUGCUAAGAAAGUUGAUGGUUUUCAAUUUAAUCCUAUGUAAAGCAUCAAGCAUGAUCGACUUUUGGCAGAAGUAUGUUUUGCACUUUCAAUUCGUUUCAUAUCGGUAAUAUUUCCAUUUCCAGAAAUGGACCUUUGAUAACAAUCUACUUAAGAUAAUGCAACUUGCAAAGGCUCAUCACUCUACUCAGUUCUGAUCAUCAAGCCUAGGAAAGUUGAAUCAAAUCUAUUUACUGACAUGUUCCUUUACAUAUCAAAUGCAACAGUUCUAUAUCAAAUUGUUGCCAACACUGGCCCUUUAGCUGGCAGCUAGAUUUGCAUGGAUGGUAGGGGAGUUUUUGUAAGUUCAAUUGCAUCCUUUUUCUUAAAAAAAAAACAAAAAAAAAAUAGGCAUGUUAGUGAUCUAUAUGCUAGGGAUGAUGAGUUAUUGCAGCAUGAUUCUAUGAGGAGAUGUUUUUCCAACCGUCUCCCCUAGUGAAGCUUCUGGUUUGGAGCAAGAAGUUACAAAGGCAGAUGUAUUUCAGUUUUAUCUGAUUUGGCCAGUUACAAAGCUCCAGGUCGGAUGGAUUUCAGACAUGUUUCUUUAAGAUGAAUCCUGGGAGGUAGUUGGGGAUUGUGUUCGUAAGAUACCCUUAUAUAUUACACAAUUUAUCAAUUAUAUUCUUUUGUUUGUUUCUA